GUGAUUAGAUCUCUGCUCAGCUUAGAGGUGAGCUCUGCUGGGAGUAAACUUUAUUGCAGCAGAGAUUAUAACACGUGACAAUAUUAGUGUGAAGUACGACAACAGCAUGAGAAGAAGAGGUUUGAGAAGAAAUCGCUGUUUAGAUGAUCUCUAGUAGUUUCUACAAUAAUCAUCUGAAUAAUCCAGAAAAUCAUGAAAGGGUCCGAUCUGGUGCUGCUCGCCCUACUCUCCACUGGUGAGGCCUUGAUGAUUGAGCUCAGCUGUUUCAGGUUGAGAGUCAAGGCCCAUCGCAGAAGGGCAGGGGGUCACCUGUGAUCAUGUGUGGAGGAUCAGGAACAAGGCUGUGUUAACUCCUCUAGAGGAAGGAGAUGUUUUUUCACUUGGUGCCCUAGUUUCUGUCGUUAACUGUAAUUUUGUGUUAGUGUUUAAACUUCUGAACAAAAUUGGCUUCAACUUAUUCUUAGUUUUUUUUAAAGAAAUGUGUUAUUUGUUAACUUAUUCCUGUUUUCUUUAUUUGUUGUUCCUCUAGUCCCCUCGUAACCGGGAAACGUAAAAAAAUGAAGAACAGCACAUUAAAAAACAGCAAUAAAAGCUGA